rnacentral:rRNA from 1 species
AUUGAACGCUGGCGGCAGGCCUAACACAUGCAAGUCGAACGAGUGGCGGACGGGUGAGUCAGGUCUGGGAAACUGCCUGAUGGAGGGGGAUAACUAAUGGCACCGGCAGCUAAUACCUCAUACCAUCAGAUGUGCCCAGAUGGGAUUAGCUUGUUGGUGGGGUAACGGCGCACCAAGGCGACGAUCCCUAGCGGGUCUGAGAGGAUGACCAGCCGCAAGGGAACUGAGACACGGUCCAGAUUCCAACGUGAGGCAGCAGUGGGGAAUAUUGCACAAUGGGCGCAAGCCUGAUGCAGCCAUGCCGCGUGUAUGAAGAAGGCCUGCGGGUUGUAAAGUACUUUCAGCGGGGAGGCGUUACCCGCAGAAGAAGCACCGGCUAACUCCGUGCCAGCAGCCGCGGUAAUUC